GUCUCCUUGAAGAGAUAAGGAGUCUGGCCUGCCCACUGAAUUAUUAAAGGGCCGCGGUAUUUCUGACCGUGCGAAGGUAGCAUAAUCAUUAGUCUUUUAAUUGAAGGCUUGUAUGAAAGGUUGGACGAGAGAGAAGCUGUCUCAACUAGAGUUUUGAAGCUAACUUCUAAGUGAAAAGGCUUAGAUAAAUUGAAAAGACGAUAAGACCCUAUAAAUCUUAAUAUUAGCACAAACUAAAUUUUUAAUUUGUCUGUUAGUAGAAAUAUUAAAUUGGUAGUAUUUUGUUGGGGCGACAAAAAUAUAGGAUAAUUAACUGUUUUAUUUUCAACACAAUCAUUUUUGUCUAGUGAGAUCCUCUUUAGAGAUUAAAAGAUCAAGUUACUUUAGGGAUAACAGCGUUAUUUUCCUUGAGAGUUCAUAUCGAAAGGAAAGUUUGCGACCUCGAUGUUGAAUUAAAAUCUCUUUAUGGUGCAGCAGCUAUGAAAGAAAGUCUGUUCGACUUUUAAAAUUUU
rnacentral:rRNA from 1 species